rnacentral:lncRNA from 1 species
CAAGAAAGCACAUUCUCCAAAGACAACUUUCACUGCAAAGAUUAGCUGUGUAUAACUGGCGACCAUUGGAAAACUGAAGAUGAAGGACUGUAUUUUUUUUUUAAGUUUUCCAGCAUGGAUAAUGCAGUUAGACUGAGCCCUGAGAUUGCUAAUUACAACAAUCUCAAUAAAUACAAAUAACUCUAACCCAUCAUGCCACUGGUCUUUGGAGCAAAAUAGGAGCAAUUAUAUUUCAAGUAAGUCAGUUCAAAGGCAUGACUAAGUCUUUACAAGGAGCCAAAUUGUCCAUGGGUGUUGAGUGGCUACGAAACAUGACGCCCUUCAUCUCUGCCAAGGAGCAGGUUCAGGUGUGCGCAGCUGGGUUUGGCCGCCAGCCUUACCUUGGGAGAACAAGUGCUAUAGUCCCAGGUCAGACUCCAGGCUGAGCUCAGAACAUCAAAGGAAGUCAGUGGUGGAGAGUGACUCAUCCUGAGAGCAGCAACAUCAUCUUGACAUCCAAGUACUGUGCAUUUUGGAUGAAGCUUCCCCUCAACCCUAACGCCAUCAUAGCCAGGCGGAGGCCUUGAGGAAAGCUCCCCGGUCCAGCAGGCUCACCUUUACUACCCAGCAGCAUGAAACACGCAGCUUCCAGAACUCUCCCUGCAUUUCGUCUUGGCUGUGACUUGGCUGUGCAGCCCUUUUGCCUGGCCUUAUCCACAUGUUCUCCUCUCUCUUCCCAUUCAUCCUUAAGACCCAGCCUAGCUGUCACCUCCUCCAGAAAGCCUUCCUUGACCAACCGUCGUCCACAGUAAGUAGUACCCGUGCUCCUAAAGCUUCCCUGGGAUUAAUAUUGCACUGAUCACAUUGGCUUCAGUGAUGUUUUUCCUUCCACUUCCUGCUCUAGUGUAGAACUCACAGGGCGGGGACAAGGUUUUCAUAUACCCAGCACGGGGAACAGCAGCCCUUGGUUAACAUGUACUGAAUGAAUCACAGGAAGUGGUGGCUGGAGCUCAUUCACACUAGCAUGUAAAUGACUAAUAUACAUCCUUUCCUGAAAACAACCCUUGAUGGAGGAGAGGAAGGGGAAAUCCCAGAGCCCCGGGCAAGUGAAGCCAGGGAAGCAGCCCCACCUGGAGAGGGACAGGUCCAGGGAGUUGGGAGGCCCAGCUUCAACCCUGGUUAUGAAGGUGGGCUCGGUUCUGCAC